rnacentral:rRNA from 1 species
GCAUGCGGGUGGUUCAUUAAGUCAGAUGUGAAAGCCCGGGGCUCAACCUCGGAACUGCAUUUGAAACUGGUGAACUAGAGUGCUGUAGAGGGGGGUAGAAUUUCAGGUGUAGCGGUGAAAUGCGUAGAGAUCUGAAGGAAUACCAGUGGCGAAGGCGGCCCCCUGGACAGACACUGACACUCAGAUGCGAAAGCGUGGGGAGCAAACAGGAUUAGAUACCCUGGUAGUCCACGCCGUAAACGAUGUCUACUUGGAGGUUGUGGCCUUGAGCCGUGGCUUUCGGAGCUAACGCGUUAAGUAGACCGCCUGGGGAGUACGGUCGCAAGAUUAAAACUCAAAUGAAUUGACGGGGGCCCGCACAAGCGGUGGAGCAUGUGGUUUAAUUCGAUGCAACGCGAAGAACCUUACCUACUCUUGACAUCCAGAGAAGCCAGCGGGAGACGCAGGUGUGCCUGCGGGAACUCUGAGACAGGUGCUGCAUGGCUGUCGUCAGCUCGUGUUGUGAAAUGUUGGGUUAAGUCCCGCAACGAGCGCAACCCUUAUCCUUGUUUGCCAGCGAGUCAUG